rnacentral:rRNA from 1 species
AACGAACGCUGGCGGCAUGCCUAACACAUGCAAGUCGAACGAGACCUUCGGGUCUAGUGGCGCACGGGUGCGUAACGCGUGGGAACCUGCCCUUAGGUUCGGAAUAACUCCCCGAAAGGGGUGCUAAUACCGGAUAAUGUCUUCGGACCAAAGAUUUAUCGCCUUUGGAUGGGCCCGCGUUGGAUUAGCUAGUUGGUAGGGUAAAAGCCUACCAAGGCGACGAUGCAUAGCUGGUCUGAGAGGAUGAUCAGCCACACUGGGACUGAGACACGGCCCAGACUCGUACGGGAGGCAGCAGUGGAGAAUAUUGGACAAUGGGCGAAAGCCUGAUCCAGCAAUGCCGCGUGAGUGAUGAAGGCCUUAGGGUUGUAAAGCUCUUUUACCCGAGAUGAUAAUGACAGUACCGGGAGAAUAAGCUCCGGCUAACUCCGUG